UCUGGAGCAGUUGGCUGACCUGUUUCAUGAGGAUGAACAAGAGCAGAGGAUGCAUGGCCAGCGUAACAAAUAUGGAAAAAACAUUGAUAGACUGUUGAUGGAUGUUGGAUGAGUCUGCGGAAGAAGGAGCACCAGUCUGAGUAUCUGAGUGCAUGCCAACAUGUCUUCGACGAGCAGGAGGAGGAGCUGCUGGAUUCCACCAAAGACCUGGACCUCGGAAAAUGAGAUAACAUCUCCCUCCAACACUCCCAAAGGAAGCGGUGGGAGACUGGCCACAACAGGCUGAGUCGGGGACUCUACAUGGGGAAAGAGACAUGCUACUGAGGAAGCUGGUAGAAGCAGAGAUUGAUGGGGUGGCAGUGGCCACA